rnacentral:tRNA from 1 species
GCGUCCGUAGCUCACCUGGAUAGAGCGACAGACUUCGAAUCUGUAGGCAGCACGUUCGAGCCGUGUCGGACGCA